rnacentral:rRNA from 1 species
GACGAACGCUGGCGGCGUGCUUAACACAUGCAAGUCGAACGAAAGGCCCUGCUUUUGUGGGGUGCUCGGGUGGCGAACGGGGGAGUAACAAGUGAGUAACCUGCCCUUUACUUUGGGAUGACUUCAGGAAACUGGGGCUAAUACCGGCGAGGAGCUCCUGCUACCUGGUGGGGGUUGGAAAGAUUCGGCGGUUGGGGAUGGACUCGCGGCUUAUCAGCUUGUUUGUGGGGUAGUGGCUUACCACGGCUUUGACGGGUAGCCGGCCUGAGAGGGUGACCGGCCACAUUGGGACUGAGAUACGGCCCAGACUCCUACGGGAGGCAGCAGUGGGGAAUAUUGCACAAUGGGCGGAAGCCUGAUGCAGCAACGCCGCGUGCGGGAUGACGGCCUUCGGGUUGUAAACCGCUUUCGCCUGUGACGAAGCGUGAGUGACGGUAAUGGGUAAAGAAGCACCGGCUAACUACGUG